UGGAGAGAAUUACAAUUGGUUUGUAUACCAGACUCAUGUUCUGGAGGCUGUAGGUUCGAGUCCUAUCUCUCCUA
rnacentral:tRNA from 1 species